ACCUGCAAAGUACCUCCACAACUGAUGAAACCGCAACCAAACAAGGGGAGACAUGAUUUUGCAUGCUAGUGAAUUCCAUGCAAGGAGUGCAUGGAGUUUUCAAACCAAUCAGUACACAAAAUAAGCUUACCUAACUCUUUCUACGGCUUCAGUUUUUUCGGUUUCAGCAGCUGCUCUUUGUGCUCUGAUAUUCUUUAUCAUCUCCAUCUUAGAACUCGCGAGAGGAUCCUUGUACAUGGGUACCCUUCUCGUGGACUCUGUACUACCACUUGGCUUCUUCGUUGGCUUUCUUUCGGGUCCAUACGAUGCAUCAUAAUAUUUUGCCAAUGCAGAGCAAACACGGUCGCGAUAAUUCUGAUGCACGAAUUACAUGAGGAAAAUACAGCUUAAAGAAAACAAGGCUCAGGUUCAUACUACUCUUACUAAACAUGUAAAACAUAGGUCAUUUAGGCACUUAUGUACACCAUUGAACACAAUUUAUAUAGCAAUGAAAACUCUAUCGGAACCAAAGCCGAUGAUUUGAUUAA